UACGUAGGGUGCGAGCGUUAAUCGGAAUUACUGGGCGUAAAGCGUGCGCAGGCGGUGAGCUGUGUCCGAUGUGAAAGCCCCGGGCUUAACCUGGGAAUGGCAUUGGAAACUGGCUCGCUGGAGUGUGGCAGAGGGGGGUGGAAUUCCGCGUGUAGCAGUGAAAUGCGCAGAUAUCGGGAGGAACACCUAUGGCGAAGGCAGCUCGCUGGGACGUUACUGACGCUGAGACGCGAAAGCGUGGGGAGCAAACAGG
rnacentral:rRNA from 1 species